UAUGCACUCUACUGUAAGUCGCUCUGGAUAAGAGCGUCUGCUAAAUGAUUUAUU
rfam:Salmo salar isolate Sally breed double haploid chromosome ssa21, whole genome shotgun sequence.